GAUGAACGCUAGCUACAGGCUUAACACAUGCAAGUCGAGGGGUAACGAGAGGAAAGCUUGCUUUCCUUGUCGACGACCGGCGCACGGGUGAGUAACGCGUAUCCAACCUGCCCCCAACUAGGGAAUAACCUUGCGAAAGUAUGACUAAUACCCUAUAAUUUCCUCAGAUGACAUCUGAAGAGGAAUAAAGAUUUAUCGGUUGUGGAUGGGGAUGCGUCUGAUUAGCUUGUUGGCGGGGUAACGGCCCACCAAGGCAACGAUCAGUAGGGGUUCUGAGAGGAAGGUCCCCCACAUUGGAACUGAGACACGGUCCAAACUCCUACGGGAGGCAGCAGUGAGGAAUAUUGGUCAAUGGGCGGAAGCCUGAACCAGCCAAGUAGCGUGCAGGAUGACGGCCCUAUGGGUUGUAAACUGCUUUUAUACAGGAAUAAAGUUAGCCACGUGUGGUUAUUUGUAGGUACUGUAUGAAUAAGGACCGGCUAAUUCCGUGCCAGCAGCCGCAGUAA
rnacentral:rRNA from 1 species